rnacentral:rRNA from 1 species
GAUGAACGCUGGCGGCGUGCCUAAUACAUGCAAGUCGAGCGAAUGGAUUAAGAGCUUGCUCUUAUGAAGUUAGCGGCGGACGGGUGAGUAACACGUGGGUAACCUGCCCAUAAGACUGGGAUAACUCCGGGAAACCGGGGCUAAUACCGGAUAACAUUUUGAACCGCAUGGUUCGAAAUUGAAAGGCGGCUUCGGCUGUCACUUAUGGAUGGACCCGCGUCGCAUUAGCUAGUUGGUGAGGUAACGGCUCACCAAGGCAACGAUGCGUAGCCGACCUGAGAGGGUGAUCGGCCACACAGGGACUGAGACACGGCCCAGACUCCUACGGGAGGCAGCAGUAGGGAAUCUUCCGCAAUGGACGAAAGUCUGACGGAGCAACGCCGCGUGAGUGAUGAGGGCUUUCGGGUCGUAAAACUCUGUUGUUAGGGAAGAACAAGUGCUAGUUGAAUAAGCUGGCACCUUGACGGUACCUAACCAGAAAGCCACGGCUAACUACGUGCCAGCAGCCGCCGUAA